rnacentral:rRNA from 1 species
UACGGGGGGGGCAAGCGUUGUUCGGAAUUACUGGGCGUAAAGGGCUCGUAGGCGGCCAACUAAGUCAGACGUGAAAUCCCUCGGCUUAACCGGGAACUGCGUCUGAUACUGGAUGGCUUGAGUUUGGGAGAGGGAUGCGGAAUUCCAGGUGUAGCGGUGAAAUGCGUAGAUAUCUGGAGGAACACCGGUGGCGAAGGCGGCAUCCUGGACCAACACUGACGCUGAGGAGCGAAAGCCAGGGAGCAAACGGGG